ACGGAGGAUGCGAGCGUUAUCCGGAUUCAUUGGGUUUAAAGGGUGCGUAGGCGGACUAUUAAGUCAGUGGUGAAAUCCUGCAGCUUAACUGCAGAACUGCCAUUGAUACUGAUAGCCUUGAGUUUGGUUAAGGUAGGCGGAAUGUGUAAUGUUGCGGUGAAAAGCAUAGCAAUUAGGCUGAACACCGAUGGCGUAGGCAGCGUACUGGGCGGACACUGACGCUGAGGCGCGUAAUCGUGGGGAUUGAGAAG
rnacentral:rRNA from 1 species